rnacentral:rRNA from 1 species
AAUAAAUGUUAAUUUUUAUAUUAAAUAAUUAAUAGUUUAUGGUCUUUAAAAUUAAAAAAUUUGGCGGUAUUUUAGUCUUUUCAGAGGAAUCUGUUCUGUGAUUGAUAGUCCACGAGUUUAGUUACUUAUAAUAUAUUAAUUUGUAUAUCGUCGUAAAAGAAUAUUUUUUUAGAAUUUAAAUAUUCUAAGUUUUUAUAAAAAAGAAAAUCAGAUCAAGGUGCAGUUUAUUUAUAAGAAGAAAUGGAUUACAAUAAAUUAUAUUUUUGGAUUAAUUUAUUAAAUUUAAAUUAUGAAAAUGGAUUUGAAAGUAAUUUUAAUUAAAUUAUUAAAAUGAUUUUAGCUCUAAAAUAUGU